AGCUUUGCGCAGUGGCAGUAUCGUGGCCAAUGAGGUUUAUCCAAGGCACGAUUAUUGCUAAUUGAAACAUGUUACUGUCUCCUUGUUUUGUUUUAGUUUAUUGGUUUUGUGUCUUUUAUAAGA
rnacentral:snRNA from 1 species